rnacentral:rRNA from 1 species
GACGAACGCUGGCGGCGCGCCUAACACAUGCAAGUCGAGCGAUGAAAUCAAAUGGAAUUUUUCGGAAUGAAAUUUGAAAGAUUAGCGGCGGACGGGUGAGUAACACGUGAGCAACCUACCUUUAACAUGGGGAUAGCCUCGGGAAACCGGGAUUAAUACCGAAUAAAAUCUCUUUAUCGCAUGAUAAAGAGAUCAAAACUCCGGUGGUUAAAGAUGGGCUCGCGCCUGAUUAGCUAGUUGGUGAGGUAACGGCUCACCAAGGCGACGAUCAGUAACCGGCCUGAGAGGGUGAACGGUCACAUUGGAACUGAGAAACGGUCCAAACUCCUACGGGAGGCAGCAGUGGGGAAUAUUGCACAAUGGGGGGAACCCUGAUGCAGCGACGCCGCGUGAGCGACGAAGGCUUUCGAGUCGUAAAGCUCUGUCCUAUGGGAAGAUAAUGACGGUACCAUAGGAGGAAGCCCCGGCUAACUACGUGCCAGCAGCCGCAGUAACAC